rnacentral:tRNA from 1 species
GCGGACGUGGCUCAGUGGUAGAGCAUCCCCUUGCCAAGGUGAGGGUCGCGGGUUCGAAUCCCGUCGUCCGCU